GGACAGUCAUCGCCGAGUCCCCGUACGGCGCGAGCCAGGGGAGCCGGGGACCCACACGAAGUCCCUGGGGUGAAUCGGACGCCCGCGCGUGUCGCGAGGGGGUCCGUAGGAGACCUUCCUGCUCCGAACCCGUCAGCUAACCCGGUAGGCGAGAGGGAAGGAAAGG
rfam:Streptomyces sp. 4F, complete genome.